CCUCCUUUUCUUGGCCGAAUUGGGCGUGUGGUCCCACUCCUUGUUAAGUACAGAGGCAAAGGGAAAGGGCUGCUGUCCCCUCCUUAGCGGCAUGUCUUUAGUGCAGGAUGCUUCCCUUCUGCUGGUUUUAUCCUCAAGCUCUAGGACACUG
ensembl:snoRNA